rnacentral:rRNA from 1 species
GACGAACGCUGGCGGCGUGCCUAAUACAUGCAAGUAGAACGCACAGUUUAUACCGUAGCUUGCUACACCAUAAACUGUGAGUUGCGAACGGGUGAGUAACGCGUAGGUAACCUGCCUGGUAGCGGGGGAUAACUAUUGGAAACGAUAGCUAAUACCGCAUAAUAUUUAUUAUUGCAUGAUAAUUGAUUGAAAGAUGCUAUUGCAUCACUACCAGAUGGACCUGCGGUGUAUUAGCUAGUAGGUGAGGUAAAGGCUCACCUAGGCGACGAUACAUAGCCGACCUGAGAGGGUGGUCGGCCACACUGGGACUGAGACACGGCCCAGACUCCUACGGGAGGCAGCAGUAGUGAAUCUUCGGCAAUGGACGAAAGUCUGACCGAGCAACGCCGCGUGAGUGAAGAAGGUUUUCGGGUCGUAAAGCUCUGUUGUAAGGGAAGAACGGGUGUGAGAGUGGAAAGUUCACACUGUGACGGUGUCUUACCAGAAAGGGACGGCUAACUACGUG